rnacentral:tRNA from 1 species
GGGUGCAUAGCUCAGUGGUAGAGCAUCAGACUUUUAAUCUGCUGGUCUUGGGUUCGAAUCCCAAUGCACCUA